UGGUGGAGCGAUCUGUCUGAUCAAUUCCAAUAACGAACGAGACUCUAGCCUACUAAAUAGUUCGGGGACCCCCACAAAGGGGCCCCGCUUCAACUUCUUAGAGGGACAGGUGGCGUUUAGCCACACGAGAUUGAGCAAUAACA
rnacentral:rRNA from 1 species